rnacentral:lncRNA from 1 species
UUUCACAUAUACUGUGCCCAUAUGGCUUCAAAUAUCAUAUUCACUGUCAAGGAUGAUAAUCCUAUUGGAGCUACUUUAAUUGGGAGGGCUUACGUACCUGUUGAAGAAGUUUUAGGUGGGGAAGAAGUUGAUAAAUGGGUUGAGAUCUUAGAUGAAGAUCGAAAUCCCAUAUCUUCAGGCUCAAAGAUUCAUGUGAAGCUCCAAUAUUUUGACGUAACAAAAGACAGAAGCUGGGCUCGGGGCAUUAGAAGUGCUAAGUACCCCGGGGUUCCAUUUACAUUCUACCCGCAGAGAAAAGGUUGCAAGGUUUCUCUCUACCAAGAUGCUCAUGUCCC